AACACCUGGUUAGAGGAGGUACUGGGCUAACGGAGUAGAACACCAGGUUAGAGGAGGUACUGGGCUAGCGGAGUAGAACACCUGGUUAGGGGAGGUACUGGGCUAGCGGAGUAGAACACCUGGUUAGGGGAGGUACUGGGCUAGCGGAGUAGAACACCUGGUUAGGGGAGGUACUGGGCUAGCGGAGUAGAACACCUGGUUAGGGGAGGUACUGGGCUAGCGGAGUAGAACACCUGGUUAGGGGAGGUACUGGGCUAGCGGAGUAGAACACCUGGUUAGGGGAGGUACUGGGCUAGCGGAGUAGAACACCUGGUUAGGGGAGGUACUGGGCUAGCGGAGUAGAACACCUGGUUAGGGGAGGUACUGGGCUAGCGGAGUAGAACACCUGGUUAGGGGAGGUACUGGCUAGCAGAGUAGAACACCUGGUUAGGGGAGGUACUGGGCUAGCAGAGUAGAACACCUGGUUAGGGGAGGUACUGGGCUAGCAGAGUAGAACACCUGGUUAGGGGAGGUACUGGGCUAGCAGAGUAGAACACCUGGUUAGGGGAGGUACUGGGCUAGCGGAGUAGAACACCUGGUUAGGGGAGGUACUGGGCUAGCGGAGUAGAACACCUGGUUAGGGGAGGUACUGGGCUAGCGGAGUAGAACACCUGGUUAGGGAGGUACUGGGCUAGCAGAGUAGAACACCUGGUUAGGGGAGGUACUGGGCUAGCAGAGUAGAACACCUGGUUAGGGGAGGUACUGGGCUAGCGGAGUAGAACACCUGGUUAGGGGAGGUGCUGGCUAGCAGAGUAGAACACCUGGUUAGGGGAGGUACUGGCUAGCAGAGUAGAACACCUGGUUAGGGGAGGUACUGGCUAGCAGAGUAGAACACCUGGUUAGGGGAGGUACUGGGCUAGCAGAGUAGAACACCUGGUUAGGGGAGGUGCUGGGCUAGCAGAGUAGAACACCUGGUUAGGGGAGGUACUGGGCUAGCAGAGUAGAACACCUGGUUAGGGGAGGUACUGGCUAGCAGAGUAGAACACCUGGUUAGGGGAGGUACUGGGCUAGCAGAGUAGAACACCUGGUUAGGGGAGGUACUGGCUAGCGGAGUAGAACACCUGGUUAGGGGAGGUACUGGCUAGCAGAGUAGAACACCUGGUUAGGGGAGGUACUGGCUAGCAGAGUAGAACACCUGGUUAGGGGAGGUACUGGGCUAGCAGAGUAGAACACCUGGUUAGGGGAGGUACUGGGCUAGCAGAGUAGAACACCUGGUUAGGGGAGGUACUGGGCUAGCAGAGUAGAACACCUGGUUAGGGGAGGUACUGGCUAGCAGAGUAGAACACCUGGUUAGGGGAGGUACUGGGCUAGCAGAGUAGAACACCUGGUUAGGGGAGGUACUGGGCUAGCAGAGUAGAACACCUGGUUAGGGGAGGUACUGGCUAGCAGAGUAGAACACCUGGUUAGGGGAGGUACUGGGCUAGCAGAGUAGAACACCUGGUUAGGGGAGGUACUGGCUAGCAGAGUAGAACACCUGGUUAGGGGAGGUACUGGCUAGCAGAGUAGAACACCUGGUUAGGGGAGGUACUGGCUAGCGGAGUAGAAGACCAGGUUAGAGGAGGUACUGGGCUAGCAGAGUAGAACACCUGGUUAGGGGAGGUACUGGCUAGCAGAGUAGAAGACCAGGUUAGAGGAGGUACUGGGCUAGCAGAGUAGAACACCUGGUUAGGGGAGGUACUAGCUAGCAGAGUAGAACACCUGGUUAGGGGAGGUACUAGCUAGCAGAGUAGAACACCUG